rnacentral:rRNA from 1 species
UACGAAGGGGGCUAGCGUUGUUCGGAUUUACUGGGCGUAAAGCGCACGUAGGCGGAUCGAUCAGUCAGGGGUGAAAUCCCAGGGCUCAACCCUGGAACUGCCUUUGAUACUGUCGAUCUGGAGUAUGGAAGAGGUGAGUGGAAUUCCGAGUGUAGAGGUGAAAUUCGUAGAUAUUCGGAGGAACACCAGUGGCGAAGGCGACUUACUGGACACAUAUUGACGCUGAGGUGCGAAAGCGUGGGGAGCAAACAGG